rnacentral:rRNA from 1 species
AACGAACGCUGGCGGCAUGCCUAACACAUGCAAGUCGAACGAGACCUUCGGGUCUAGUGGCGCACGGGUGCGUAACGCGUGGGAACCUGCCCUUAGGUUCGGAAUAACUCCCCGAAAGGGGUGCUAAUACCGGAUAAUGUCUUCGGACCAAAGAUUUAUCGCCUUUGGAUGGGCCCGCGUUGGAUUAGCUAGUUGGUAGGGUAAAAGCCUACCAAGGCGACGAUCCAUAGCUGGUCUGAGAGGAUGAUCAGCCACACUGGGACUGAGACACGGCCCAGACUCCUACGGGAGGCAGCAGUGGGGAAUAUUGGACAAUGGGCGAAAGCCUGAUCCAGCAAUGCCGCCUGAGUGAUGAAGGCCUUAGGGUUGUAAAGCUCUUUUACCCGGGAUGAUAAUGACAGUACCGGGAGAAUAAGCUCCGGCUAACUCCGUG